rnacentral:rRNA from 1 species
GCAGCCGCCGCGGUAAUGCGUAGGUGGCAAGCGUUGUCCGGAAUUAUUGGGCGUAAAGGGCUCGCAGGCGGUUUCUUAAGUCUGAUGUGAAAGCCCCCGGCUCAACCGGGGAGGGUCAUUGGAAACUGGGAAACUUGAGUGCAGAAGAGGAGAGUGGAAUUCCACGUGUAGCGGUGAAAUGCGUAGAGAUGUGGAGGAACACCAGUGGCGAAGGCGACUCUCUGGUCUGUAACUGACGCUGAGGAGCGAAAGCGUGGGGAGCGAACAGGAUUAGAUACCCGCGUAGUCCCUGUCUCUUAUAC